rnacentral:rRNA from 1 species
AGAGUUUGAUUCUGGCUCAGAACGAACGCUGGCAGCGUGGAUUAGGCAUGCAAGUCGAACGGGAAGCGCGAAGAUCAAUCUUCGGAGAGAGAUUUGCGUGGAGAGUGGCGGAAGGGUGAGUAACGCGUGGGUAAGCUGCCUUCAAGUUGGGGAUAACUCCGCGAAAGCGGGGCUAAUACCGGAUGUGGUUCUGUAACACCUGUUACGGUGACUAAAGGUGGGGAUCUUCGGACCUGCCGCUUGAUGAGGCGCCCGCGUGCCAUCAGCUUGUUGGUAUGGGUAAUGGCCUACCAAGGCUUACGGCUAGCUGGUCUGAGAGGAUGAUCAGCCACACUGGGACUGAGACACUGCCCAGACUCCUACGGGAGGCUGCAGUCGAGGAUCAUUCGCAAUGCGCGAAAGCGUGACGAUGCGACGCUGCGUGGAGGAUGAAGGCCUUCGGGUCGUAAACUCCUGUCACCGGGGAAAAACAGCCAUUUGGUGAACAGCCUUUUGGUUUGAUGGUACCCGGAGAGGAAGCCACGGCUAACUCUGUGCCAGCAGCCGCGGUAAUACAGAGGUGGCGAGCGUUGUUCGGAUUUACUGGGCGUAAAGCGUGCGUAGGCGGCAUUGUAAGUCGGAUGUGAAAUCCCGGGGCUCAACUCCGGAACGGCAUCCGAAACUGCAAAGCUUGAGUGCAGGAGGGGAGAGCGGAAUUCACGGUGUAGCGGUGAAAUGCGUUGAUAUCGUGAAGAACACCGGUGGCGAAGGCGACUCUCUGGAAUGCAACUGACGCUGAGGCACGAAAGCGUGGGGAGCAAACAGGAUUAGAUACCCUGGUAGUCCACGCCGUAAACGGUGCGCACUUGUCGUUGGGGGAGUUAACCCCCUCAGUGACGGAGCUAACGCGUUAAGUGCGCCGCCUGGGGAGUACGGCCGCAAGGCUAAAACUCAAAGAAAUUGACGGGGGCCCGCACAAGCGGAGGAGCAUGUGGCUUAAUUCGAUGCAACGCGAAGAACCUUACCUGGGUUUGACAUCGGGAAGGCUUGCCUUUAUCGCGUGAAAGCGCGAGAACCAGACAGGUGCUGCAUGGCUGUCGUCAGUUCGUGCCGUGAGGUGUUGGGUUAAGUCCCGCAACGAACGCAACCCCUGUGGUUAGUUGCCCCUCUGUCUUCGGAUGGAAGCACUCUAGCCAGACUGCCCGUGUAAUCGGGAGGAAGAUGGGGACGACGUCAAGUCCGUAUGGCCCUUACACCCAGGGCUGCACACGUGCUACAAUGGUCGGUCCAGAGGGCAGCAAUACCGCGAGGUGGAGCAAAUCCCCAAAGCCGGCCUCAGUUCGGAUUGUAGUCUGCAACUCGACUACAUGAAGUUGGAUUCGCUAGUAACGGCGUAUCAGCUACGACGCCGUGAAUACGUUCCCGGGCCUUGUACACACCGCCCGUCACAUCAUGAAAGCCGUCUGCACCCGAAGUCGCUGAGCUAAUCUCUUUUGAGAAGGCAGGUGCCGAAGGUGUGGGUGGUGAUUGGGAUGAAGUCGUAACAAGGUA